rnacentral:rRNA from 1 species
AUUGAACGCUGGCGGCAUGCCUUACACAUGCAAGUCGAACGGUAACAGAUCUUCGGAUGCUGACGAGUGGCGAACGGGUGAGUAAUACAUCGGAACGUGCCUAGUAGUGGGGGAUAACUACUCGAAAGAGUGGCUAAUACCGCAUGAGAUCUACGGAUGAAAGCAGGGGAUCGCAAGACCUUGUGCUACUAGAGCGGCCGAUGGCAGAUUAGGUAGUUGGUGGGAUAAAAGCUUACCAAGCCGACGAUCUGUAGCUGGUCUGAGAGGACGAUCAGCCACACUGGGACUGAGACACGGCCCAGACUCCUACGGGAGGCAGCAGUGGGGAAUUUUGGACAAUGGGCGCAAGCCUGAUCCAGCAAUGCCGCGUGUCUGAAGAAGGCCUUCGGGUUGUAAAGGACUUUUGUCCGGGAGCAAAUGCCUGGUGUUAAUAGCAUCGGGAGCUGAGAGUACCGGAAGAAUAAGCACCGGCUAACUACGUGCCAGCCGCCGCGGUAACAC